GCGUUGUAGGAAAGGAAGGAAGUUACCUGUCCCCUUGGUGGGGACAGCAGAGGCCCUCAGGCCUGGCAGCAUGCUUAUCAUUAGGCUUUGCCACCUACUUCGUGGCAUGUGACCAUCAUUGAGUUUUUU